UGGAAAUGUCACCGAGGCUGGGGCUGCUGGAGGACACCGGCCCCGCGUCCUUCCCCGGCCCGCAGUGGGGCCUGCGCUGGGAUUUGAAAUGAAGAGGCCUCAAAAGACCUUCGGCUGAAAGGUGUCCAACAGGAAUUUUUAAGAGGAGUUCAAACGGAUUCUGCAAAUAACAGCCUGGUUUUCCAGCUCUGCCUUAAGGCCUGCAGCUUCGAGAGCAAGGAAAUGUUUGGGAGCAGGAGCCUGGAGGGAAAAGGACCAGAGAAACAAGUUUUCUGCUCCUUCUAAUGAGGGCAGUAAGGCUCGUGUGUUACCUCUACAACUGCAGGGGCAAAGUUUACGAGAUGAUCGUCUUUAGUACUCAAAAAAGCGAGAAGCAAUGGUCACUGCAA